GAUGAACGCUGGCGGCGUGCCUAAUACAUGCAAGUCGAGCGAAUGGAUUGAGAGCUUGCUCUUAUGAAGUUAGCGGCGGACGGGUGAGUAACACGUGGGUAACCUGCCCAUAAGACUGGGAUAACUCCGGGAAACCGGGGCUAAUACCGGAUAACAUUUUGAACCGCAUGGUUCGAAAUUGAAAGGCGGCUUCGGCUGUCACUUAUGGAUGGACCCGCGUCGCAUUAGCUAGUUGGUGAGGUAACGGCUCACCAAGGCAACGAUGCGUAGCCGACCUGAGAGGGUGAUCGGCCACACUGGGACUGAAACACGGCCCAGACUCCUACGGGAGGCAGCAGUAGGGAAUCUUCCGCAAUGGACGAAUGUCUGACGGAGCAACGCCGCGUGAGUGAUGAAGGCUUUCGGGUCGUAAAACUCUGUUGUUAGGGAAGAACAAGUGCUAGUUGAAUAAGCUGGCACCUUGACGGUACCUAACCAGAAAGCCACGGCUAACUACGUGUCAGCAGCCGCGGUAA
rnacentral:rRNA from 1 species